UGUGGGAGCUGGCUUGCCUGCGAUGCAGACACCUCGGUCAUUCAGGUAAAUACAGGUGAUGCCAUCGCAGGCAAGCCAGCUCCCACA
rnacentral:antisense_RNA from 1 species